AACUUAGAGUAUCUCCGGAAUAAGCUCUUUUUAGUUUCAGUUAAAUAACGAGAAUGAGCCUUCCUUAUAUUAAGGAACCAACCUUUUCCAUUUCCCACUUUCACGCACUUGCAGGAGCUAAUGUCUCCACCUUUCCUUCUUCUAUAUGUUUUCUAUUUAAAUCAAUGAAAACCAAAAAAAAGAGGCAAGAAUUAAUAGCCCAAAAGUUUGUGUUUUAUGUUUCUCUUUAAACUUGUUAUAAAGCUGUGAUUCGACGAGGUCACAUCUAUCAGAGCAGCUCAAGGUUUUGCAUAUAUCCACUUUCUGAAGAACAGACCGCUAUUCCGAACUCAGAAUGUGUAACAUGCUUGACGAGGUAUCGAUUUAUUUCAAUAUUUGUUCUUAUUCCACUUUUUGUUUAUGAUCUUAUAAACUAAUACAUAUGUUCGGAUUUUCUUCACCAAUACAAUGCAAACUUAUUUUAUCUUUUCUUUUUGCUAUGAACUUAUUUUAUCUUGAAUCAAACAAAAGAAUAUAUGACAUAAAUAUGAACGUCCUGAAUAUUUAAAGCAAGCUGGUCCGGAUCAAAGUCGGAUGUUUUCACAUCUAGUGUGAUCUUGCUUGACCUCAACUCGUUUAAAAAAACAGUACCAAAUGAAAGAAGCAAAUGCGUAGUUGUUGGGCGAUAUUAACUGUCCCAUGAUCAAAGCUUGGGGAAAUAAUCGAUCCACGACUUAUGAGUAUGAUUAUCCAGUGAAUGCGGGGCAGAAAUGGGGCACUCUCAUCAGAAUAUGCACCAAGUGGGACAUGGAUAAACGACCAUUGGUGCAACAAGCCCUGGGUACUCUUCGUUAUAGCACGGAGAUUAAGGAUUAAAUGUGUUGAGGUUUCUGAGUAUUUUGACUUUGAACAUUUCCCAACUUUUUUCCAAGUAAAUCUUCAGUCAAAAGUACAAUCAUUGUCCAUAUUAAUUUACAAACAUUUUAUA